rnacentral:lncRNA from 1 species
GUCUCCUGGAGGCUUUGGAACUUACUGGGGAGAACUUGAGAGAAGUCUGCCAAUCCUAAUUCACAACACUUGUGCAAUCCUGGAUUCAAUUCUCCGGCACCUCCUAGUUGGAACCCAGUAAGCUGGGAGUGUGAGAGAAGGAGAGGAAGAGGUUAAUCCCUAAAGAAUGUUCCAGAUACUAUUACCAAAAGGUGAGGGAAAGGAUGAUGGACAUCAACAAACAUC